CCGACGUUUCCUUUUAUAACAACUCUUCUUAAGAGAAUAAUUAUGAAAGAGUAGAACUACUAUAUUUUGAAUUUUGUCAGAAAAUUAGAAAUUUAUCUCCAAAUCACAUGUUUUACAAUAAUUACGAUUUAUGUUUUUGGAUGGUAAUCCAAUGCUAUACUACAAAUAGUGCAUUGUUUAUAAGAAAACUGAAUGUUAACAUUUAAACAAUCACUAUUGUAACAUUAAGUCUAUUUUCCUUACGGCGGAGACUAAAAGAACUGGAGAAGGAAAGAGAGGAACAAAAGCGGAGAAUAGAUGAACUGGAGAACGAAAAGGAGGAACUAAAGUGCAUGAUAAAGGAUCUACUGGAAAAACUAGAGGAAGAAAAAAAGAAAAGAGAGGAAGAACAAAAGG